rnacentral:rRNA from 2 species
AGAGUUUGAUCAUGGCUCAGAUUGAACGCUGGCGGCAGGCCUAACACAUGCAAGUCGAGCGGUAGCACAGAGAGCUUGCUCUCGGGUGACGAGCGGCGGACGGGUGAGUAAUGUCUGGGAAACUGCCUGAUGGAGGGGGAUAACUACUGGAAACGGUAGCUAAUACCGCAUAACGUCGCAAGACCAAAGUGGGGGACCUUCGGGCCUCAUGCCAUCAGAUGUGCCCAGAUGGGAUUAGCUAGUAGGUGGGGUAACGGCUCACCUAGGCGACGAUCCCUAGCUGGUCUGAGAGGAUGACCAGCCACACUGGAACUGAGACACGGUCCAGACUCCUACGGGAGGCAGCAGUGGGGAAUAUUGCACAAUGGGCGCAAGCCUGAUGCAGCCAUGCCGCGUGUGUGAAGAAGGCCUUCGGGUUGUAAAGCACUUUCAGCGGGGAGGAAGGCGGUGAGGUUAAUAACCUCAUCGAUUGACGUUACCCGCAGAAGAAGCACCGGCUAACUCCGUGCCAGCAGCCGCGGUAAUACGGAGGGUGCAAGCGUUAAUCGGAAUUACUGGGCGUAAAGCGCACGCAGGCGGUCUGUCAAGUCGGAUGUGAAAUCCCCGGGCUCAACCUGGGAACUGCAUUCGAAACUGGCAGGCUAGAGUCUUGUAGAGGGGGGUAGAAUUCCAGGUGUAGCGGUGAAAUGCGUAGAGAUCUGGAGGAAUACCGGUGGCGAAGGCGGCCCCCUGGACAAAGACUGACGCUCAGGUGCGAAAGCGUGGGGAGCAAACAGGAUUAGAUACCCUGGUAGUCCACGCCGUAAACGAUGUCGAUUUGGAGGUUGUGCCCUUGAGGCGUGGCUUCCGGAGCUAACGCGUUAAAUCGACCGCCUGGGGAGUACGGCCGCAAGGUUAAAACUCAAAUGAAUUGACGGGGGCCCGCACAAGCGGUGGAGCAUGUGGUUUAAUUCGAUGCAACGCGAAGAACCUUACCUGGUCUUGACAUCCACAGAACUUACCAGAGAUGCAUUGGUGCCUUCGGGAACUGUGAGACAGGUGCUGCAUGGCUGUCGUCAGCUCGUGUUGUGAAAUGUUGGGUUAAGUCCCGCAACGAGCGCAACCCUUAUCCUUUGUUGCCAGCGGUCCGGCCGGGAACUCAAAGGAGACUGCCAGUGAUAAACUGGAGGAAGGUGGGGAUGACGUCAAGUCAUCAUGGCCCUUACGACCAGGGCUACACACGUGCUACAAUGGCAUAUACAAAGAGAAGCGACCUCGCGAGAGCAAGCGGACCUCAUAAAGUAUGUCGUAGUCCGGAUUGGAGUCUGCAACUCGACUCCAUGAAGUCGGAAUCGCUAGUAAUCGUAGAUCAGAAUGCUACGGUGAAUACGUUCCCGGGCCUUGUACACACCGCCCGUCACACCAUGGGAGUGGGUUGCAAAAGAAGUAGGUAGCUUAACCUUCGGGAGGGCGCUUACCACUUUGUGAUUCAUGACUGGGGUGAAGUCGUAACAAGGUAACCGUAGGGGAACCUGCGGUUGGAUCACCU